rnacentral:lncRNA from 1 species
AAAUCCCGAAGAAAAGCUCGAAAGAACAGAGUCGGAAGGGUUAGGUUUUUCAGAAACGAUGGAUUUGAAUUUCUUUUAAAGAGAGGCUCGAAAACGUGGGAAGAGGAAGAUGGGACGGCACCUGAUGAUUAUUAGCUAGUAACUAGCUAAUAAACUAGCCAUUUUCCCACGAACUCUAGUUCGCGGUAGGCGGACGUGGCAGACGUGGGCUAAAAAACGGAAAAGACUGGCGCGCAAAUUAAUGGCAAAAGCAUUAAGUCUGAAACCGUUCCAGUUCCAAAACGAUUUAGACUUAGGGGGCAUUGUUUGGGCCUAAAUUUGGCACGCCAAAGUUCAAAAGACAGGCCCAU